UCCCCAAUCAUAUCCCCCGCUACCCAUGUGAUCAAGCAGUUAUUUUUCUUCUGUGUUUCUUCUUCCAGAGUUCUUCCUCUGGAUGUGGAUAGUGCUCUUUCUCAUAAGUCCCUCAGAACUGUCCUGGAUCAUUGCAUUGCUGCUAGUAGAGAAGUCCAUUACAUGUGAUUGUGUCACAGUGUAUGUCUCUUUGUGUAAUGUUCUGGUUCUGCUCCUUUGACUCUGCAUAAAAUCAUGGAGGUCAUUCCAGUUCACAUGGAAUUAUUCCAGUUCAUUAUUCCUUUUAGUACUAUAGUAUUCCAACACCAUCAAAUAAAAAAAAAUUUCCUUAGACAGCACCCAAUUAAAAGACAUCUCCUCAUUUUCUAAUUUUUUGCCGCCAAGAAGAGCAUGGCUGUGAAGGUUGUUUGCUUUAUUAUCACUUUGGGGUACAAAUCCAGCAAUAAUAUAUCAGGUUCAAAGGGCAGGAAGACUUUUAAAGAAAGAAAGAGUGUUUUGAGAAAGGAGAAUGCUUGCUCUGGAGGAGGAGUUGUCCACGGUGAGUGAGGGGAGGGAGAGUAAGCUAGUUGAGCUCGGGAUGAGGAAUAUUAGGGAAGAGCAGGAAGGAGCCCUGCAGAGAGGAGAUGGGGUGAAGGCCCAGGAUCUCAGCCCCGUAGCCCGCUAGAUUGCCCGAUGUGUCCCAACCAAUCACCUCUUUCAGACUACACAGGAGUUUCCAGCGUGAGCCCAAUGGCAGCAGGGAGCAGGAAUCCAUCCCCUUGGAGCAGAGAGGACACGGAGCCCACUAGCCUCCCUGGGGCUGCAUCGACCUUGGGAAAUGCCCCUUUCAGGACCCCGGGACCCAUCCUCUCCACAGACACACGUGCGGGCUCAGAGUCUGCUCAGACUGCCAGUCUCUUUGUGGGCUCGGCACCAGGUGGCCAGGCUGGAGAGACACCCCCGCCAAGCGUGUCUGCUGUGGGAGGCCAUCCCACUGCAGGAGGGUCUGUGGGCCCUGGCUCUCUCCCUCCUGCUGCCACAGCCUUUGAGUCUGAGGGCAUGGCAGGCUCCAGCGUCCCCUUAGACAGCAGCCCUCGAAGGACCGUUUCCUCCUUUUUGCCCACGGCCACCUCGGCUGCCGCCACAGCAGCGAUGUGGGAGCAUGACAGCACCAGGCCUCCUGAAAGGGGUCCAGGUGGCUCCUUCCAUACCGAGAUCCCUUCUUCAGGGAAAGGCAUCAGCACCCCCCUUGCUCUGUCUCCUUCUGACUCGGGCUCCACUAGCAGAGUCCCCGGCGCGACCUCCCUUUCCCAGGGCACACAGACAGUGGCUUCCACCAUCCCUGAGGAGUCAGAGGCCCAGACAGGGAUGCCGGCCAGCUCGGUUGGUCUGACCACCCCUCCCCGGAGUCAGAUCUCCAGUACCGAGGAGGCAGAGACAGCCACGGCUGCCCCUUCCCUGGGAGCCAGCCCAGGGCCAGUGGAUGCGCCCACUGCCUUCCCUGUUUUCACGGGCCCUCUAGGAACCGCCAUGGCCCCAGGAGGGAGCCCUAGUUCUAGGAGGACCCUGGAGACUUUGUGGACCGAGACAAGCAGCCCCUUUGCUUCUCCCAGCACGAGCCAGCAGAAGGGCGGUCCUCCUCCUGGGCUAGGGCCCUCUGGCUCCACGGGCACCCGGACACCUGUGGCCAUGACCGAGCCGUGGAGCAGCGCUGUGGUCUCUUCAUCUCCUGGCACAACGAGGACCCUGUAUGCCACGGAGGGGACCAGCCUCCUGGCUUCUCGUGAAGGCUUCCUGGCGACGACUGACACGCAGAGCAGGCCCGAUGGGACAUCUCCCAGCAUCCUCGUGGCUGGGUCAGUCUCAGCAGGCAGCCCUCGAGGCUCAGAGAGCAGCAUGCACUCAGAGAGUUCCUCAGUGUCUGCAGAGAUGGCGGUUGGAGAGAUCACGCUGCCCCCUGGGAGUUCCACCACUGCCUUUCCUGUGGACAGCCCCUCAAGCCAUGGCCCCAGCGUUCCAGUGAUCAGUGCCAGAGCCGAGACGUCAUCCCAGCCGGAGCCGGUGACGGUAGCUGAGUCGUCCCCUUCUCCUGUCUCAGGGACUGCCCCUGGUGAAAAUGCAGCUGUGCCAUGGCUUUCUACCCCAGCUGAGGCCCUGAGUGCCUUAAGCACAGGCCUCAAUUGGCUGUGGACUCUCCCUGCAGCCAGUCCAGAAGCGUCCUCAGGGAGCAGCACCGUGGCUCUGGACAAGGUUUCAGCUGUGCCAGAGACCGAGGGGCCAAGCCUGGCUGCCAGCAGCAUGGUCACAGACACGCUCCCUCCCUCUGCCACCUCUGCUCAGCAUCCUGGCCACCCAAGUCCGGGAGGAGGGAUUGGCUCCGCUGGCUCCCUGACCUCAGCCUGGUCCCCAGAGCCAACAUCCUCCGACUCUGGCACUGGAGCCGCCUCUUCCUCUCCUCCAGAUGUGAGCUCCUCUUUGGGGGUGACUCGAGCUGGCAGUGGGGCAUUGCCGAUGGACUCGCAGACCACAGAACUUCUCUCGUCGGCCACUGCACCAGCGUAUGGCACAUCGGCAGAGGCCUCAAGGACUGUGACAGGAGGUGGCCCUCCAGGGGCAUUGAGUCCAGGGCCCAUUCCCAGCUUGGGAGACUCGAUCACAGCCUCCUGGAAGGACUCGGCAGGCACGGGCAGGAGCUCUGUGUCUCCGGAGCUUACCCUGCCUGUUUUGGGUACUGACGCCUCCACAGGGUUCACAGCAUCUGGUGGCCCAUCCAGUCCUCCUCCAGGGACUGAGCUGCCAACCAUGCCUGGCACCGAGUCGCCAUCCUCACCUCUCGCAGUUGUGGAAGCCAGUUCUGCUUCUCCCCUUUCCUGGGGCCCGGGGGCCAGCCCUUCCCCCGGUUUCUCCCAGUCGACAUCGGAGGACAAAGGAGGCUCCUUUCCGAGCGCCACCAAGCGCACGUCGGAUGUCUCAGCCUCUGGGCCCACCGUGAGUUCAGAGAGUGUUGUUGCCACCUCGUCAGUGCCCAGCACAGAGGAGAUUGGCUCCGGGUCCGCUGCCUCCCUGGGCACCAGACUUCCACUCUUGACUGGCGGGAACAGGGUUACGGGAACAGGGGCUCCAGGAUCUACCCCGGAGCCCACAAGCCCUUGGCGUACAGGCCCGGCAGCAACACCAAGGCCCGGCCUGACCUUCGGCCCUGCCCGGACAGAGAGCACAGUGCCCGUGAGCACAGGUGCUGGCUCAGAGACACCUUCAUCCAGCUCUGUGGGCAGCCAACCGAUAGCACCAGACACCAGCAUUGCCAGCCUUCCGGACCCCCUGGCGACUGAGGCCACCAGCUCUGCGUCUCUCCUUUCGCCAGAGACAGGUUCCCCGGGAAAACUCCAUGUGCUGUCGAGCCUCAGCCCACACUCCCCUCCUGUGUUCACGCCGUCCUCGUCCCGGACCAGCCCCUCUUCUCCUGGGAUGGCCCCUUUCUCUGGGUCAGAGCAGAACACAGAAGCAAGCGGGGCAUUUGUGCCAGUUUCAGUUGCCACGGAGACUCUGUGGGCAUCUGGCCCUUCCCCGUACUGGUCCACACUGACAGCAGACAUCCCUGGCCCAGCUGGUACAGCCUCUGGCUCAGGCCCUGCUCCUUCCACUUCAUCCCAGUUCACAAGCAUCAGUGAGAGCCUAGGUGCCAGCAGCCCCCCUGCAGACCUAACCUCCCAUGAAGCCAUCAGCACAUCUCCAGCCAGUGAGGCCCUGGGGGCCUCCACCAGUGUCAGCACUUCAGGUCAGUAGGAGUCUGCCGUCUGCUUAUUGUGCUGGAGAAGCCUUCAUCUGUGCUUGGUUUGUAUCGCCUGCUCUUGGGGCCUCUCCAUGUGGUGGAUAUGUGUUGGGCUAUUCUUGGGUCCUGGGGACCUGGCUUAGGAUUUUGCCCUUUCUGGGAACAUUUCCAUUCUGGCUUGCUUGGGGUCUCCCUUUGAAGUCUUUCCCUCCAUGUCUGUCCCUUUGAGGUUGGAAGCGCAGACUCUGUUCCUUUGGAGCUGGACAUGGACAAGCUUUGUCCAUGGCAUGUGUAGGAUCCACCAUUUUAGGUUGGUGCCCAGCGCCAAGUAGGUAUCAUCUGUCUGCCCGCCAGCCGAGGCUCAUCCAAGAGGGCAUUUGGGGAUGCGCUGUGUGGCGCUGAGAAGCCACUGAGAGCAUAUGGAAGAGGGGUCGGGAAAAGCCCUCUGCUAGACUCCCAAUCUCACAGUAGUGCAUUUCA
ensembl:lncRNA